UACGGAGGGUGCAAGCGUUAUCCGGAUUCACUGGGUUUAAAGGGUGCGUAGGCGGGUAUAUAAGUCAGUGGUGAAAGCUCCGGGCUUAACUUGGAACUGCCAUUGAUACUGUAUAUCUUGAAUGUCGUUGAGGUAAGCGGAAUGUUGCAUGUAGCGGUGAAAUGCUUAGAUAUGUUACAGAACACCAAUUGCGAAGGCAGCUUACUAAGCGAUGAUUGACGCUGAGGCACGAAAGCGUGGGGAGCAAACAGG
rnacentral:rRNA from 1 species